UACGUAGGGCGCAAGCGUUAUCCGGAAUUAUUGGGCGUAAAGAGCUCGUAGGCGGUCUGUCGCGUCUGCUGUGAAAACUCGGGGCUUAACCCCGGGCCUGCAGUGGGUACGGGCAGACUAGAGUGCGGUAGGGGAGACUGGAAUUCCUGGUGUAGCGGUGAAAUGCGCAGAUAUCAGGAGGAACACCAAUGGCGAAGGCAGCUCGCUGGGACGGUACUGACGCUGAGACGCGAAAGCGUGGGGAGCAAACAGG
rnacentral:rRNA from 1 species